ACGUACACUCCUGCGGGAGGCAGCAGUGGGGAAUAUUGCACAAUGGGCGCAAGCCUGAUGCAGCCAUGCCGCGUGUAUGAAGAAGGCCUUCGGGUUGUAAAGUACUUUCAGCGGGGAGGAAGGCGAUAAGGUUAAUAACCUUGUCGAUUGACGUUACCCGCAGAAGAAGCACCGGCUAACUCCGUGCCAGCAGCCGCGGUAAUACGGAGGGUGCAAGCGUUAAUCGGAAUUACUGGGCGUAAAGCGCACGCAGGCGGUCUGUCAAGUCGGAUGUGAAAUCCCCGGGCUCAACCUAGGAACUGCAUUCGAAACUGGCAGGCUAGAGUCUUGUAGAGGGGGGUAGAAUUCCAGGUGUAGCGGUGAAAUGCGUAGAGAUCUGGAGGAAUACCGGUGGCGAAGGCGGCCCCCUGGACAAAGACUGACGCUCAGGUGCGAAAGCGUGGGGAGCAAACAGGAUUAGAAACCCUGGUAGUCCC
rnacentral:rRNA from 1 species